rnacentral:rRNA from 1 species
UGGCGGAAUUGUAGCUGGCCCCAAUCGGGCAUGUGCACAUUCUGUUCAUUCCAUUCUCAUACACCUCUGUGCACUUUUCAUAGGUUUGGUAUAGAAAAAGGUUCUCUACGGACUUUUGGAUAUGCUGACCUAUGCUUUUACAAACGCUUCAGUUUUAGAAUGUCAUCUGCGUAUAACGCAACAAAUACAACUUUCAGCAACGGAUCUCUUGGCUCUCGCAUCGAUGAAGAACGCAGCGAAAUGCGAUAAGUAAUGUGAAUUGCAGAAUUCAGUGAAUCAUCGAAUCUUUGAACGCAUCUUGCGCCCCUUGGUAUUCCGAGGGGCAUGCCUGUUUGAGUGUCAUGGUAAUCUCAAUACCCCAAAUCUUUGCGGAUGAGGGUGUGUUGGACUUGGAGGUUUUUGCAGGCGAUAAUUUUAUUAUUAUUACCAGCUCCUCUUAAAUGCAUUAGCAGAGAUAAUACUGCUACUCUCCAGUGUGAUAAUUGUCUACACUGUUAGUAGUGCGGUAUAACCAAAGUCUAUGCUUCUAAUCGUCUUCGGACAACUUUUGACAAUCUGACCUCAAAUCAGGUAGGACUACCCGCUGAACUUAAGCAUAUCAAUAAGCGGAGGAAAAGAAACUAACAAGGAUUCCCCUAGUAACUGCGAGUGAAGCGGGAAAAGCUCAAAUUUAAAAUCUGGCAGCCUUUGGUUGUCCGAGUUGUAGUCUGGAGAAGCGUUUUCCGUGCCGGACCGUGUAUAAGUCCCUUGGAAUAGGGCGUCAUAGAGGGUGAGAAUCCCGUCUUUGACACGGACUACCGGUGCUUUGUGAUGCGCUCUCAAAGAGUCGAGUUGUUUGGGAAUGCAGCUCAAAAUGGGUGGUAAAUUCCAUCUAAAGCUAAAUAUUGGCGAGAGACCGAUAGCGAACAAGUACCGUGAGGGAAAGAUGAAAAGCACUUUGGAAAGAGAGUUAAACAGUACGUGAAAUUGCUGAAAGGGAAACGCUUGAAGUCAGUCGCGUUAUGCAGAACUCAGCCUGGCUUUUGCUUGGUGUAUUUUCUGUAUGACGGGCCAGCAUCAAUUUUGGCCGCUGGAAAAAGGCUCUAGAAAUGUGGCACCUCCGGGUGUGUUAUAGUCUAGGGUCAUAUACAGCGGCUGGGAUUGAGGUCUGCAGCACGCCUUUAUGGCUGGGGUUCGCCCA